UUUUCGUUUCAUGCAAUGCAUUUCAUUCUCUUUGAUGUUCUCGGUGCAUCGAUUGUGUUAUUUGCUUUUGUUCUUUAGUUUAAGGGUUUUAGGGCUGGCUAGGUUCAGAAUUGACGACUCGUUUUUGGGUGAAAAUGGGUGCUUGAUGGUUCAAGCGUUGGUGGAUUCCGAAGGGAGGUUCGUGGAUAUCUCAACUGUGUGGCCAAUUACCAUGAAUCCUGAAACCAUUUAGUAACACUGGCAAGUACUGGUUUGGGUGGUAAGCUUUCUGGAGAUAUUGGAUCACUGUCUGAAUUGGAGAUUUUAAUCGGGCACAUUCCUGUGAUUGAUGAGAAGGGGAUGAUUGGAAUGGUGUCCAUUGGAGAUGUGGUUCAUGUUGUGGUGCGCGAGCACCGUCAAGAGUUUGAGCAUUUGAAUGCUUUCAUACAAGGGGGUUAUUAGAUGUUGAUGAUGGUGAAAAUCUCUGAAGAGCACUGAAGCUAAUUUGGAUUAAGUAAUAAGCCUGAGUGUUUGUAAAUAUGUUUGUGAUUUCAGUUCUAUCAACAUUAACCCCAAUGGUGUAGCAGCAUGUUAAUAAUAACAACUGGAUGCAUUUUGAAUC